rnacentral:rRNA from 1 species
GACGAACGCUGGCGGCGUGCCUAAUACAUGCCAGUUGAGCGCUGAAGGUUGGUACUUGUACCAACUGGAUGAGCAGCGAACGGGUGAGUAACGCGUGGGGAAUCUGCCUUUGAGCGGGGGACAACAUUUGGAAACGAAUGCUAAUACCGCAUAAAAACUCUAAACACAAGUUUUAAGUUUGAAAGAUGCAAUUGCAUCACUCAAAGAUGAUCCCGCGUUGUAUUAGCUAGUUGGUGAGGUAAAGGCUCACCAAGGCGAUGAUACAUAGCCGACCUGAGAGGGUGAUCGGCCACAUUGGGACUGAGACACGGCCCAAACUCCUACGGGAGGCAGCAGUAGGGAAUCUUCGGCAAUGGACGAAAGUCUGACCGAGCAACGCCGCGUGAGUGAAGAAGGUUUUCGGAUCGUAAAACUCUGUUGGUAGAGAAGAACGUUGGUGAGAGUGGAAAGCUCAUCAAGUGACGGUAACUACCCAGAAAGGGACGGCUAACUACGUG